UGUGUUCUGCUGUCAAAAAGAAGUGGUAGGCCUACUUGAUCAGAUGGAGAAACCUGCUGUUCACAUUUCAAAUAGGCUAACUUACACAACGAGGCCACGAUGCUGAUAAAAGUGCAAUUUGGAGGCAAGAAAAAAUAUAUUAAACUGGAAGAAGAUUGUUUCUUGGAUUUUUUCAGUGCGGUCCAGCACAAGUUUGUGAUACCAGAGGAUACAGCAUCGAAAGUCACAGAUGACCAUGGCAUAGAGGUGGAUGAGGAUGUAUUUCAAGAACUUGCAACAACCAAAGAAACAUGUCAUCCACACUAAUGAUGAUUUGACUGUCCUGCAGCAAGGGGCUGUUAAAGUGCCCUCCUACCCAAGU